rnacentral:rRNA from 1 species
CCCUUAGAUGUCCGGGGCCGCACGCGCGCUACACUGAAGGAAUCAGCGUGGCUUUCUCCCUGACCCGAAAGGGUUGGGAAACCCGUUGAAUCUCCUUCGUGAUAGGGAUUGGGGCUUGAAAUUGUUCCCCAUGAACGAGGAAUUCCCAGUAAGCGCAAGUCAUCAGCUUGCGUUGAUUACGUCCCUGCCCUUUGUACACACCGCCCGUCGCUACUACCGAUUGAACGGUUUAGUGAGGGCCUCGGAUUGGUCUCGGCCCGCUCUUUACCGGGCGGCGCCGUUGGUCGAGAAGACGCUCGAACUUGAUCGUUUAGAGGAAGUAAAAGUCGUAACA